GAUGAACGCUAGCGACAGGCUUAACACAUGCAAGUCGAGGGGCAGCACGGGAGUAGCAAUACAACUGGUGGCGACCGGCGCACGGGUGAGUAACGCGUAUGCAACCUACCUAUCAGAGGGGAAUAACCCGGCGAAAGUCGGACUAAUACCGCAUAAAACAGGGGCACCGCAUGGUGAUAUUUGUUAAAGAAAUUCGCUGAUAGAUGGGCAUGCGUUCCAUUAGGUAGUUGGUGAGGUAACGGCUCACCAAGCCGACGAUGGAUAGGGGAACUGAGAGGUUGGUCCCCCACACUGGUACUGAGACACGGACCAGACUCCUACGGGAGGCAGCAGUGAGGAAUAUUGGUCAAUGGGCGGGAGCCUGAACCAGCCAAGUCGCGUGAAGGAAGAAGGAUCUAUGGUUCGUAAACUUCUUUUGCAGGGGAAUAAAGUGCAGGACGUGUCCUGUUUUGUAUGUACCCUGAGAAUAAGGAUCGGCUAACUCCGUGCCAGCAGCCGCCGCCGUAA
rnacentral:rRNA from 1 species